UACGUAGGGGGGCAAGCGUUGUCCGGAUUUAUUGGGCGUAAAGGGCUCGUAGGCGGUUCGACAAGUCGGGUGUGAAACCUCCAGGCUCAACCUGGAGACGCCGCUCGAAACUGUUGUGACUAGAGUCCGGUAGAGGAGUAUGGAAUUCCUGGUGUAGCGGUGGAAUGCGCAGAUAUCAGGAGGAACACCAGUAGCGAAGGCGAUACUCUGGGCCGGUACUGACGCUGAGGAGCGAAAGCAUGGGGAGCGAACAGG
rnacentral:rRNA from 1 species